GGAUAUUAAGACAUCUGCUCAUGAAAUUAAUAGCCGCAAUACUGUGCUAAGGUAGCAUAAUAAUUCGUCUUUUAAUUGAAGACUAGAACAAAAGAUAUUACAUUUUAAUUAAUAUAUCAAAUAUAUAAAAUGUAAUUUAUUUUAAAUGUAAAAAAACAUUUAUUAAAAAGAAAGACGACAAGACCCUAUUGAACUUAACUAUAGUUAGACUGGGGCAGUCAAUUAAUUAACAUUUUAAUUUUUUUUUAAAAAAAUCUAAUAUAAUUAAAAUAAAAGUUACCAUAGGGAUAACAGCGCAAUUAAUAUUAAAAGAUCUUAUAUAAAUAUUUGUUUACGACCUCCAUGUUGAAUUAAUAUCCUAAACCAGUGCAAUAAUUAAAUAAGGAAGUCUGUUCGACUUUUAAAAAAUUACAUGAUCUGAUUCCAAACCGGGAA
rnacentral:rRNA from 1 species